rnacentral:misc_RNA from 1 species
ACCGAAGUUACGAUAAUACGUUUGUCAUAUUUUAAAGCGAAGUUGAGUACUUUAAAGACGAAAAAGCGGUGAUCGGUAAUAUAAACAACUGUGGAUUGUCCAGAGAGUGUGAUUUUAUGCAAGAGUUCAUGGAUUUAGAGGAGUUUUUAGAUGC